rnacentral:tRNA from 1 species
GCAGUCGUGGCCGAGCAGUUAAGGCGAUGGACUAGAAAUCCAUUGGGGUCUCCCCCGCACAUGUUCGAAUCCUGUCAACUGCG